rnacentral:misc_RNA from 1 species
AAGUCCAGACAGCGCCAAAAAGGGAUAAAAUUCACAAGUAUAUCUUUCUGAAUUUGGGAAAAUGUUGCAAUUCUUUUUACUUCCUCAAACUAUGAAAACACAAACAAAAAGGCAUGUAAUGCGAAGUACAAGCCAUAACACAAAAACAUGGCAUGGAAUGGGCUUGAUCCGCAGGAUCAACCCAAGUUCCGAAACUCAGAUACCAAGCGGUCAUUCCAAAUGGAUCAAAGAGUUGAGAAUUCAAAACUCAUAUAUUCACAUUUACCCAAUCAAAACGACAAACAGUAAAUCAGAGCUAGAUUCAACAAAGGAACAUUCUUUCUUAGCGAAAUAAUCAAUACCCAAAAAAU